rnacentral:rRNA from 1 species
AACGUACGCUGGCGGCACGCCUAACACAUGCAAGUCGAACGAAGUAGCAAUACUUAGUGGCAGACGGGUGAGUAACAUGUAGGUAUCUACCCUUUGGCCUGGAAUAACACGAGGAAACUUGUGCUAAUACCGGAUAAGUCUUUACGGAGAAAGCUUUAUGCACCAUUGGAUGAGCCUGCACUUGAUUAGUUUGUUGGUGGGGUAAUGGCCUACCAAGACUGUGAUCAAUAGCUGAUUUGAGAGGAUGAUCAGCCACAUUGGGACUGAGACACGGCCCAAACUCCUACGGGAGGCAGCAGUGGGGAAUCUUGCACAAUGGAGGAAACUCUGAUGCAGCGAUGCCGCGUGAGUGAAGAAGGCCCUUGGGUUGUAAAGCUCUUUCGUCGGGGAAGAAAAUGACUGUACCCGAAUAAGAAGGUCCGGCUAACUUCGUGCCAGCAGCCGCGGUAAUACGAAGGGACCUAGCGUAGUUCGGAAUUACUGGGCUUAAAGAGUUCGUAGGUGGUUGAAAAAGUUGGUGGUGAAAUCCCAGAGCUUAACUCUGGAACUGCCAUCAAAACUUUUCAGCUAGAGUAUGAUAGAGGAAAGCAGAAUUUCUAGUGUAGAGGUGAAAUUCGUAGAUAUUAGAAAGAAUACCAAUUGCGAAGGCAGCUUUCUGGAUCAUUACUGACACUGAGGAACGAAAGCAUGGGUAGCGAAGAGGAUUAGAUACCCUCGUAGUCCAUGCCGUAAACGAUGUGUGUUAGACGUUGGAAAUUUAUUUUCAGUGUCGCAGCGAAAGCGAUAAACACACCGCCUGGGGAGUACGACCGCAAGGUUA